rnacentral:lncRNA from 1 species
UUUGACGACCCUGCUGGGGAGGUGUAGAAUUCGUGAAGGGUAUGCCAUAACUCGAAGUGGGAGAACUACAUGAAGAGUUUCACCGACAACAACAGAAGGCUAACGAAGAUUUCAUCGGUGAAUGCUACCUAGAGCUAAAACCGACAAAAUUUUUUGAAAACAAGAACUUUUAAAAUAAGAAACCAAAAGUCCACCGAUUAAGGCAACCAAAUUUUUUUUUGAGGAAGUAU